rnacentral:rRNA from 1 species
CAUGGCAGACAGACGGCGGGUGCUAAGGUCCGUCGUCGAAAGGGAAACAGCCCAGACCACCAGCUAAGGUCCCCAAAUCACGACUAAGUGGGAAAGGAUGUGGGAAGGCCAAGACAACCAGGAGGUUGGCUUAGAAGCAGCCAUCAUUUAAAGAAAGCGUAACAGCUCACUGAUCAAGCGCCUCUGCGCGGAAAAUGUAUCGGGACUAAAGUUAUUCGCCGAAAUUGCGGACUCGAAAGAGUGGUAGCGGAGCGUUCCGUAAGCCUGUGAAGGUGAACCGUGAGGUUUGCUGGAGGUAUCGGAAGUGAGAAUGCUGACAUGAGUAGCGACAAACAGGGUGAGAGACCCUGUCGCCGAAAGACCAAGGGUUCCUGCGUAAAGCUAAUCUGCGCAGGGUUAGCCGGCCCCUAAGGCAAGG